rnacentral:rRNA from 1 species
GACGAACGCUGGCGGCGUGCCUAAUACAUGCAAGUCGAGCGAAUCUUUUGGGAGCUUGCUCCCGAAAGAUUAGCGGCGGACGGGUGAGUAACACGUGGGCAACCUGCCUAUAAGACUGGGAUAACUUCGGGAAACCGGAGCUAAUACCGGAUACGUUCUUUUCUCGCAUGAGAGAAGAUGGAAAGACGGUCUCGGCUGUCACUUAUAGAUGGGCCCGCGGCGCAUUAGCUAGUUGGUGGGGUAAUGGCUCACCAAGGCGACGAUGCGUAGCCGACCUGAGAGGGUGAUCGGCCACACUGGGACUGAGACACGGCCCAGACUCCUACGGGAGGCAGCAGUAGGGAAUCUUCCGCAAUGGACGAAAGUCUGACGGAGCAACGCCGCGUGAACGAAGAAGGCCUUCGGGUCGUAAAGUUCUGUUGUUAGGGAAGAACAAGUACCAGAGUAACUGCUGGUACCUUGACGGUACCUAACCAGAAAGCCACGGCUAACUACGUGCCAGCCGCCGCCGUAAGAC